AGUUAAGUAGCUUAAAUUAAAGCAUAUAUUUUGAAAAUAUAAGAUUAAAGUAUAAUACCUUUAUUAACUU
rnacentral:tRNA from 3 species